CGAUGCAGGGUUCAUUGGGUUUGUUUACAAAAAUUCAAGCAUCCGGUUAAGAAGACGACAAAUAAGAAUGGUAUUAAGUUGGUAGAAUGGAACUCCUUCCUGAUUCCUGCACAUGUAAGUUACCAGAUACUCUUGAGGGACCAAUUUAAGGGCAAACAGACAAACGUUUUGAUGCAAAGAAAGCAUUGGAUUUGAAAGUUCCCAUGGAGAUGAAAAAUGGAGAGAUUCUAAAAGUAUGAAGAUACUCCUGUGUAUAAUGAGGAAAUCUUGUCAGUGAAUGUUGUUGCAAUUGUGGACCAGGCCAGAGUUGUACUAAACCAACUAAGACACAAUGAGAUACAGGAAUGACACAAUGAGAAACAGGAAACAGGAAAGUGAUGACUGAUUGCCACCUGUUACAAAUUCAUCUAGAAAACUCCUCACAUCCAACAAGAGACAGUCUGACUUCAAAAUCUUCAUUGAAGGCAACUUAAUGGACAAGACAUCCGUCACAUAAAGAUUCACUAAAAUUGGAAUGAUAUACCAAUUUUAACUUUUAACAGACAAAUACAUUAUAGAUUUGAAAAUAGAUUACCCUUAGAUAAGUUGGAUGAUUAACAUUUACCUCAACACAGUACAAAGUGCUCAUGUUGAACUAUUGUGAUUGAUCAUAGUCUGUCCUUCAUUUUUAUUAACAGUUUCAUACAGCGUUAACACUUUAGUAUGGGGACUCAUUUUUAGCUCAACUUUUCGUAGAAUAUGGAGAGCUAUACUACUCACCCAAGCGUCGGCGUCGGUGUCACCCCUUGGUUAAGGGUUUGCGUGCAAGCACACAUAGGUUAAUAUCUCAGCAACUACUUGAGGUAUUGCAUUGAGACUUUAUACAAUGGUACUCAACCAUCCAACCUACUUAUUUAAACAAGUAAGAUAACUCUAGUUUGCAUUUAAUGUAAAUAAUAGGCCUUUAUUAUUUGACUUAGAAAUUCUGGUUAAGGUUUUGCAUGCAAGCACACAUAGGUUAAUAUCUCAGCAACUGCUUGUGGUAUUGCAUUGAGACUUGAUACAAUGGUACUCAACCAUCCAACCUACUUUUUUUAAACAAGUAAGAUAACUCUAGUUUGCAUUUAAUGUAAAUAAUAGGCCUUUAUUAUUUGACUUAGAAAUUCUGGUUAAGGUUUUGCAUGGAAGCACACAUUAUAUCUAAGGUUAAUAUCUCAGCAACUGCUUGAGGUAUUGCAUCCAAGUUAUAUAACUAUAGUUUGCAUUUAAUGCAAAUACUUGCGUUUAUUAUUUCACUCAGAAAUUCUGGUUAAGGUUUUGCAUGUAAGCACACAUAGGUUAAUAUCUCAGCAACUACUGGAUGAAUUGCAUUGAGACUUUAUACAACCACCCAACCUAAUUGAAUAAUCAAGUUAGAUAAAAAUUCUGGUUAAAAUUUUGCAUGUAACCACAUUUAUGUUAAUAUCUCAGCACAUCAUGUAUUGCAUUGAAAUCUAAUCUAACAGUGAUCCAUGCAUGUUUCGCCAAAACUUUUCAAUCCUUUCACUGAAAAGCAGCGGAAUAGUCGAGAGCGCUGUCUCUGUGACAGCUCUUGUCUCUUUGGUCUUUAUUCAUACUGGCCAGAAUAUGUUUACCAAAAAAAUCUUAGUAGAGAUUGAUAACUGUUCAGGUUGGACAAAAAGCAUGUAGGUUGUUUGUUCUAAUAAUAUAAACUGUAAAUGCUUCAGAAACUAUAUAUAUAAUUUUCAUGAUAUUUGUCAGUAUUUAUUCUCGUCAACAUUUAAAUAAUAUUAGGUGAAACUUGUUUAUUGGUCAAAAUGUGUUUGAUUAGAGUGGCCUCAAGUUCCACUUUAUAUGAAUGAAAUUUGGUCAAGUUUUAGAAAAAAACUAUGUUCUAGUUUUAUAGGCCAUAUUCUCUUCCCAAGCCCUCCUUAAAGAAUGAAUGUAGGUAAGAUGAAACAGGAGUCACUAAAUCAAGUAUUAAAAGCCUUAAAAAUUGCUAUUCAUAGAGGUAUUGUUUCCUCAUCAUAAAUCACAACUUAGCCAGCAAGACUUUACAACAAAUAAGGCAUAACAUGUAAAAAGUUAAUAAUUAGGCACAUAUUUUAGUGAAUAAAAUCUUGUGAACAUAUUAUUGAAACAAGUAAUGUGUCUGGUUCUGAGGUGAGCAAUAAAGCACAUUGCUUAGUAACAAUUGAGCUAGCUCAUUAUUAAAAGUUUGUUUUAAACAUGAAUUAAAUGAAUGCAAAUCAUAUAUUAUUAUUUUUAAUCUAUAUUUUUUUUUAGUUACCUUGUUCUGUUGUUAAUUUCCAUACUGACUUGGUCAAUUAUGGCUAAUUGUCUAAUUAUAUUUUAACUUCUAACCUAAAUGUUUCAUUGUACUUUUGAGUGUUCUGUUAACUAUAAUGCACAUUAUCCUAUAUGACAGUAUAAAUUCAAUAAAACCAUGGUUAUUAAGUUCCAUACAUAUUGGAGCACAUGGUAAGCCUCUAGAAAUGUCACUUCUUAAACCUAGAUUCUUGAUCUGUUCGCCACAUUGUUUUGUUAAUUUUUUGUUUAUUAAAACAAAUGAUUGUUUAAUGUCAAGGAAACCUUUUUAAAGUUAAAAUGUAGAUGUACAUAGAUAACUGUCAAAUAUUAUUUACCAUUUAAUAACUGUCUAAAGGCAAAAUUUCCAUUCAUUUUUAUAUUUGAUUUGGGUCCCUAGGGUCAUGGUCACUGUAACUAAAAAUAGAAAAAUGCUUGGUACUGAAUAACUUCAGUUUUAAUACAUUUAAAACUGAAUCUCACAAUAAAGGCUGAAGUUCUUGUUGCAUUGCAGCAUUUCUAGUUAACUUUUUAAUUUGACUCUUUUUAUUGCUUUCGACAGGCACAUAUUACAUCAUUAUUGUAUUCAUUUUUAAGACAAAGCCUCAUUUAAUUGAGCGUGCUGUCCAAAGACAGCUCUUGUUGACAUAAUUAUAAGACACCUUAUGUUAUGGUUUAUAUGAACAAUAGCUGUUUCUGUGUAUGUUUUAGAAGAAACUUCCAUUUCUUAUCAUAUUGAUGGACAUAGAUAUACAUACAUGUACGGGAUUAUUGACAUCAGAUUCUUAGGAUUAAAUUUACUAAUGUUCUGUUCAUGUUCAAAAUAGAUACAGUUAUGGUAAAUG